rnacentral:rRNA from 1 species
UACGUAGGCAGCGAGCGUUGUUCGGAAUUACUGGGCGUAAAGAGUGUGUAGGCUGUGUUCUAAGUCUGUCGUGAAAUCUCCCGGCUCAACUGGGAGGGUGCGGCGGAGACUGGAAUGCUAGAGGAUGGGAGAGGAAAGCGGAAUUCCUGGUGUAGCGGUGAAAUGCGUAGAUAUCAGGAGGAACACCCGUGGUGUAGACAGCUUUCUGGACCAUUUCUGACGCUGAGACACGAAAGCGUGGGUAGCAAACAGG